rnacentral:rRNA from 1 species
UGAGGAAUCUUGCGCAAUGGGGGAAACCCUGACGCAGCAACGCCGCGUGAGUGAAGAAGGCCUUCGGGUCGUAAAGCUCUGUCAGCUGGGAAGAAAUGGAUGGGGGCUAAUAUCGUCCAUCCUUGACGGUACCAUCAGAGGAAGCACCGGCUAACUCCGUGCCAGCAGCCGCGGUAAUACGGGGGGUGCAAGCGUUGUUCGGAAUCAUUUGGCGUACAGCGCGCGCAGGCGGCUGGGUAAGUCAGAGGUGAAAUCCCUGGGCUUAACCCAGGAAGUGCAUUGGAUACUGCCUCGCGAGAGGACGGGAGAGGAAAGUGGAAUUCCUGGUGUAGAGGUGAAAGUCGUAGAUAUCAGGAGGAACACCGGUGGCGAAGGCGACUUUCUGGCCCGAUACUGACGCUCAGGUGCGAAAGCGUGGGGAGCAAACA